UACGUAGGGUGCGAGCGUUGUCCGGAAUUACUGGGCGUAAAGGGCUCGUAGGCGGCCAACUAAGUCGGAUGUGAAAUCCCCAGGCUCAACCUGGGAACUGCAUCCGAUACUGGAUGGCUUGAAUUCGGGAGAGGGAUGCAGAAUUCCAGGUGUAGCGGUGAAAUGCGUAGAUAUCUGGAGGAUACCGGUGGCGAAGGCGGCUCCUGGACCGACACUGACGCUGAGGCGCGAAAGCUAGGGGAGCAAACGGG
rnacentral:rRNA from 1 species